AAUGCCCAACCCUCAUGACAUCUCAGACAGAAUGUGGUCCAGGGGCUGAGCAGAAGUGAAGGAGAACACAGCAGUCUCCAUCGCCCGUGCCUGCUAUGUGAGGAAGCAGAGCUCAAACCCUGGAGGAGUCUUUUGCUUCCUUGCUUUCUUUUCAUACAAAACAUCCUGAAGAGCAGCCUCUGGUUCCUGCCUUCUGUGAUGCUUGCGAGACCCCCUCAGGCCAGAGUCUCCCCUCCAGAGGCUGAGUCAGGAGGACAACUAGGUGCUCAGGGCUGCAGUUCAGGAGACACGGAUUCUGCCCCCAACAGCCGAGGUUGAGGCCUGCUCCACGUGCAGGCCCCAGGCCGCUGCUGGCACGUGGCAUCUGCGGGGUGGACAGAGGCCAGUUGGCUGUCUGAAGCUCUCUGACUCUUGCCCCUUUCUAUCGCGGCUCAUCCCUGGUGCUCUCUGGCCCGGCUCUAGCUCACACACCUCUUUGUUUCACCAGCAUUUCGUUUGGUUUGGUUUUUUCCCCCAUUAAAAACUUUCCAUUUGUGCUUGAGAUGGCUUCAGGCUCUUCCUCCUAAUCCAUACCUUAGAAAUACAUAAACAAGAGGAAGGUUGUUGCCUAUUAAAACCUUACAUGAACCA
rnacentral:lncRNA from 1 species